CCUACGGGUGGCUGCAGUGGGGAAUAUUGGACAAUGGGGGCAACCCUGAUCCAGCCAUGCCGCGUGUGUGAAGAAGGCCCUCGGUUUGUAAAGCACUUUCAGUGAGGAAGAACGCCUGGUGGUUAAUACCCAUCAGGAAAGACAUCACUCACGGAAGAAGCACCGGCUAACUCCGUGCCAGCAGCCGCGGUAAUACGGAGGGUGCGAGCGUUAAUCGGAAUUACUGGGCGUAAAGCGCGCGUAGGUGGCUGGAUAAGCCGGUUGUGAAAGCCCCGGGCUCAACCUGGGAACGGCAUCCGGAACUGUCAAGCUAGAGUGCAGGAGAGGAAGGUAGAAUUCCCGGUGUAGCGGUGAAAUGCGUAGAGAUCGGGAGGAAUACCAGUGGCGAAGGCGGCCUUCUGGACUGACACUGACACUGAGGUGCGAAAGCGUGGGUAGCAAACAGGAUUAGAUACCCCUGUAGUC
rnacentral:rRNA from 1 species